GAGCAUGUAGCUCAAUGGUAGAGCAGCCCGUCUGCCUUGGGCAGGUCUGGGUUCGAUUUCUAGCUUGUUCA
rnacentral:tRNA from 1 species